GCAGGGGUGACGUGGGGUGGUCCUCACACGAGAUUUCAGCUCUCGGGGUGUUUCGCAACACAGCAGUUCGAUUCUGCCUCACCUGCG